rnacentral:rRNA from 1 species
AGCAGCCGCGGUAAUUCCAGCUCCAAUAGCGUAUAUUAAAGUUGUUGCAGUUAAAAAGCUCGUAGUUGAAUUUCGGGGUUCUACCGUUGGUCGGGCUAUUGUCUGUACUGGCGUGUAGAAUUUCUACCUUCUGGGGAACUAUCAUGUUAUUAAUUUAGCGUGGUAGGAAACCAGAACCUUUACCUUGAAAAAAUUAGAGUGUUCAAAGCAGGCUUAUGUCUGAAUACAUUAGCAUGGAAUAAUAAAAUAGGACGGUGGUCCUGUUUUGUUGGUUUCUGAAUCACCGUAAUGAUUAAUAGGGAUAGUUGGGGGCAUUAGUAUUCAAUUGUCAGAGGUGAAAUUCUUGGAUUUAUUGAAGACUAACUACUGCGAAAAGCAUUUGCCAAGGAUGUUUUCAUUAAUCAAGAACGAAAGUUAGGGAUCGAAGACGAUCAGAUACCGUCGUAGUCUUAACCAUAAACUAUGCCGACUAGGGAUCGGACGAUGUUAACUUUUCUUGACUCGUUCGGCGCCUUACGGG